rnacentral:rRNA from 1 species
UGGCGAACGGGUGAGUAAUGCAUCGGAACGUACCCAGUCGUGGGGGAUAACGUAGCGAAAGUUACGCUAAUACCGCAUACGUCCUGAGGGAGAAAGCGGGGGCUCGCAAGACCUCGCGCGAUUGGAGCGGCCGAUGUCGGAUUAGCUAGUUGGUAGGGUAAAGGCCUACCAAGGCGACGAUCCGUAGCGGGUCUGAGAGGAUGAUCCGCCACACUGGAACUGAGACACGGUCCAGACUCCUACGGGAGGCAGCAGUGGGGAAUUUUGGACAAUGGGCGAAAGCCUGAUCCAGCCAUGCCGCGUGAGUGAAGAAGGCCUUCGGGUUGUAAAGCUCUUUCAGCCGGAAAGAAAUCGCGCAGGAUAAUACUCUGCGUGGAUGACGGUACCGGAAGAAGAAGCACCGGCUAACUACGUGCCAGCAGCCGCGGUAAUACGUAGGGUGCGAGCGUUAAUCGGAAUUACUGGGCGUAAAGCGUGCGCAGGCGGUUAUGUAAGACAGAUGUGAAAUCCCCGGGCUCAACCUGGGAACUGCGUUUGUGACUGCAUAACUAGAGUACGGCAGAGGGAGGUGGAAUUCCGCGUGUAGCAGUGAAAUGCGUAGAGAUGCGGAGGAACACCGAUGGCGAAGGCAGCCUCCUGGGCCAGUACUGACGCUCAUGCACGAAAGCGUGGGGAGCAAACAGGAUUAGAUACCCUGGUAGUCCACGCCCUAAACGAUGUCAACUAGUUGUUCGGUGAGGAGACUCAUUGAGUAACGCAGCUAACGCGUGAAGUUGACCGCCUGGGGAGUACGGCCGCAAGGUUAAAACUCAAAGGAAUUGACGGGGACCCGCACAAGCGGUGGAUGAUGUGGAUUAAUUCGAUGNCACGCGAAAAACCUUACC